rnacentral:rRNA from 1 species
AAGUAAGACCCCUGAAAGAUGAUCAGGUAGAUAGGUUAGAAGUGGCAGUGCGGUGACGCAUGAAGCGGACUAAUACUAAUCGGUCGAGGACUUAACCAAG